rnacentral:rRNA from 1 species
AGCAGCCGCGGUAAUUCCAGCUCCAAUAGCGUAUAUUAAAGUUGUUGCAGUUAAAAAGCUCGUAGUUGAAUUUUAGGCCUGGCCGGGCGGUCCGUCUUUGGCGAGUACUGUCCUGUGUCGGGUCUUCCUUCUGGUGAACCAGCAUGUCCUUUGUUGGGUGUGCCGGGGAGCCAGGACCAUUACCUUGAAAAAAUUAGAGUGUUUAAAGCGGGCAUUUGCUUGAAUAGAUUAGCAUGGAAUAAUAGAAUAGGACGUUGUGGUUCUAUUUUGUUGGUUUCUAGGACCACCGUAAUGAUUAAUAGGGAUAGUUGGGGGCAUUAGUAUUCAAUUGUCAGAGGUGAAAUUCUUGGAUUUAUUGAAGACUAACUAUUGCGAAAGCAUUUGCCAAGGAUGUUUUCAUUAAUCAAGAACGAAAGUUAGGGGAUCGAAGACGAUCAGAUACCGUCGUAGUCUUAACCAUAAACUAUGCCGACUAGGAAUCGGGCGACGUUAUUUUCAUGACUCGCUCGGCGCCUUAUGG